AGUGAACGCUGGCGGUAGGCCUAACACAUGCAAGUCGAACGGCAGCACAGUAAGAGCUUGCUCUUACGGGUGGCGAGUGGCGGACGGGUGAGGAAUACAUCGGAAUCUACUUUUUCGUGGGGGAUAACGUAGGGAAACUUACGCUAAUACCGCAUACGACCUACGGGUGAAAGCAGGGGAUCUUCGGACCUUGCGCGAUUGAAUGAGCCGAUGUCGGAUUAGCUAGUUGGCGGGGUAAAGGCCCACCAAGGCGACGAUCCGUAGCUGGUCUGAGAGGAUGAUCAGCCACACUGGAACUGAGACACGGUACAGACUCCUACGGGAGGCAGCAGUGGGGAAUAUUGGACAAUGGGCGCAAGCCUGGUCCAGCCAUACCGCGUGGGUGAAGAAGGCCUUCGGGUUGUAAAGCCCUUUUGUUGGGAAAGAAAAGCAGCAGGUUAAUACCCCGCUGUUCUGACGGUACCCAAAGAAUAAGCACCGGCUAACUUCGUG
rnacentral:rRNA from 1 species